rnacentral:rRNA from 1 species
UACGGAGGGUGCAAGCGUUAUCCGGAUUCACUGGGUUUAAAGGGUGCGUAGGCGGACAGGUAAGUCAGGGGUGAAAUCUCUGGGCUUAACCCAGAAACUGCCGUUGAUACUAUUUGUCUUGAAUAUCCUGGAGGUAGGCGGAAUAUGUCAUGUAGCGGUGAAAUGCUUAGAUAUGACAUAGAACACCGAUAGCGAAGGCAGCUUACUACAGGAUGAUUGACGCUGAGGCACGAAAGCGUGGGGAGCAAACAGG